AGAAAAUCAAACUUAGAUAAUACAGAUAAUUUAUCCUGGUUUAGCCUUUCUGCCUAUUCCAGUCCGGUCCUUCUUCUCCUCGAAGUACUGAUUUCACUAUCACUUGGCCUCUUGAAUAAGGCAAGACCAAGGGCGCUUACAAUCACACAAAACUUCUUUUACAACCUCUCAAUAAAGCUCACAAUUACAAAUCGAUGAACAAUUAGGACUUAGAUAAUUUUUCUGAAGUUGUAUCCCAAGCAACAUCCAAACCCCCCUUUAAAUACACUAGCC
rnacentral:lncRNA from 1 species